ACAUCACCCCAACCUUGCUGCUUUUCAGAAGCCACAGGCUCUGUCCCCUGGCACUCUGUCUAGGACUCCUGCAGGCACACACGCAAGGACCAGGUGCAGGGCGCUGAGGAAGCCCUAGAGGAGAGACUUUGCUACAAGGGGCAGCAUGAGCCAGCUGCCACCAGCAGGGCCAUCGGAAAUGGCAGCAGCAGAUGGCCUGUGCCCCAUCUGCCUGGGUGACCUUGAAAAUGCCACCUAUGUGGAGGUCUGUCGGCAUCACUUUUGCUUUGUCUGUAUCUGGGAAUGGGCCAAACUGACAGAGACCUGCCCAUUGUGCAAGCAGCCCUUCAAGCGACUGCUGUGUGCUGUGACAGUGGACAACAACCAUGAGGAACAUGUGUCUGGCUGGUCUGCCCGCCGCCAAAGAAGGCAGCCAGGACCCAGAGCAGAUCCCCACGGUGGCGCUACAACCUGAGUCGCUGUGCUGACACCCAGCCCUCCACGGGAAAAAGGGAGACUGUGGGGACACACUGAGUGCAGAGGGAUCCAGCAGCUGUGGGGCCUUCCAAUGCCACUUCUCAGCAGGCUGCUGCAGCCAGCACUUUCAUGACAGAACAUCACUGAGCACAAGGGAGCACCUGGCCAGCCCUGCUGCUACAUAUAUCCCAGCUGCAGCAGCCCUGCUGCUGCUCCUACAACAGUCUGACCUCUUUCACUUGCAAUAAACAGCCAGAUGCUUUCAA